rnacentral:rRNA from 1 species
AGUGAACGCUGGCGGUAGGCCUAACACAUGCAAGUCGAACGGCAGCACAGUAAGAGCUUGCUCUUACGGGUGGCGAGUGGCGGACGGGUGAGGCAUACAUCGGAAUCUACUUUUUCGUGGGUGAUAACGUAGGGAAACUUACGCUAAUACCGCAUACGACCUACGGGUGAAAGCAGGGGAUCUUCGGACCUUGCGCGAUUGAAUGAGCUGAUGUCGGAUUAGCUAGUUGGCGGGGUAAAGGCCCACCAAGGCGACGAUCCGUAGCUGAUCUGAGAGGAUGAUCGGCCACACUGGAACUGAGACACGGUCCAGACUCCUACGGGAGGCAGCAGUGGGGAAUAUUGGACAAUGGGCGCAAGCCUGAUCCAGCCAUACCGCGUGGGUGAAGAAGGCCUUCGGGUUGUAAAGCCCUUUUAUUAGGAAAGAAAAGCAGCAGGUUAAUACCCCGCUGUUCUGACGGUACCCAAAGAAUAAGCACCGGCUAACUUCGUG